UAGAACGCUGAAGAGAGGAGCUUGCUCUUCUUGGAUGAGUUGCGAACGGGUGAGUAACGCGUAGGUAACCUGCCUUGUAGCGGGGGAUAACUAUUGGAAACGAUAGCUAAUACCGCAUAACAAUGGAUGACUCAUGUCAUUUAUUUGAAAGGGGCAAAUGCUCCACUACAAGAUGGACCUGCGUUGUAUUAGCUAGUAGGUGAGGUAACGGCUCACCUAGGCGACGAUACAUAGCCGACCUGAGAGGGUGAUCGGCCACACUGGGACUGAGACACGGCCCAGACUCCUACGGGAGGCAGCAGUAGGGAAUCUUCGGCAAUGGGGGCAACCCUGACCGAGCAACGCCGCGUGAGUGAAGAAGGUUUUCGGAUCGUAAAGCUCUGUUGUAAGUCAAGAACGAGUGUGAGAGUGGAAAGUUCACACUGUGACGGUAGCUUACCAGAAAGGGACGGCUAACUACGUGCCAGCAGCCGCGGUAAUACGUAGGUCCCGAGCGUUGUCCGGAUUUAUUGGGCGUAAAGCGAGCGCAGGCGGUUUGAUAAGUCUGAAGUUAAAGGCUGUGGCUCAACCAUAGUUCGCUUUGGAAACUGUCAAACUUGAGUGCAGAAGGGGAGAGUGGAAUUCCAUGUGUAGCGGUGAAAUGCGUAGAUAUAUGGAGGAACACCGGUGGCGAAAGCGGCUCUCUGGUCUGUAACUGACGCUGAGGCUCGAAAGCGUGGGGAGCGAACAGGA
rnacentral:rRNA from 1 species